AACUUUUAGCAAUGGAUCACUUGGCUCUCGCAUCGAUGAAGAACGCAGCGAAAUGCGAUACGUAAUGUCAAUUGCAGAAUUCCGUGAAUCAUCGAAUCUUUGAACGCACCUUGCGCCUCUUGGUAUUCCGAGGGGCAUGCCUGUUUGAGUGUCGUUGAAUCCUCAAAAGAAAAGCUUAACUGUUUCUCUUUUGGAAUUGGAGUGUGCUGGCCUUUUGUUAAGAAGCCCGGCUCCUCUGAAAUACAUUAGCGAUGUGACAUCCGCAUGCCACCGCGCCUAUCUGGCAUUGAUAGUAUUUUCAUGCCUGAGCGUGUUGUGCAGCUGUGGAAAGUUUCGCUCGCUCAUAGCUGAUGGUUUUCACCAUCCUUUGACCAAUUUAACCUCAAAUCAGGUAGGAUUACCCGCUGAACUUAAGCAUAUCAAUAAGCGGAGGCU
rnacentral:misc_RNA from 1 species